GGAUUAAGAAAGAAUCAAACACCCACUUCUGCUUUCCACUCUCUCUUCCUUCACUUGCUUUCUUUCUCUCGUCUCGCGCGGACGCGAAACCCUCGCGAUCGAUCUCCGUCCGCCGUGAAAGGGUCUUGGUCUUUUGUGGGGAGCUUGGUCCGUUGGUCGUUCUUGAACUGCCACCAGCAGGAUUCAGCUUGGAGUGGAGAGGGGCCGGUUCGAUCGGUGGGCGGUCGAGAGUUCGGGUUUAGGCCGGGUGCCGGAAGCGGGGUGGCGCUGCCGGUGACGGAUGGCGCUGUUCAAGAGGCUGUUCUUCCGGAAGCCGCCCGAUCGGCUGCUGGAGAUUGCCGAACGCGUUUACGUGUUUGACUGCUGUUUCUCGACUGAAACCACGGGAGAAUGUGAGUACAAGAACUAUAUGGGUGGGGCAUUUGCCCAACUGCAGGGCUAUCACCCGGAUGCUUCCUUCAUGGUUUGUAAUUUCAGAGAAAGAGAUAAGAGGAGCCAAAUUUCAGACAUUUUGUCGGAGUAUGAUAUCAUGGUCAUGGACUACCCGCUGCAGUCCAAGGGAUGUCCUUUGCUCCCUUUGGUGAUGAUCCACCAUUUCCUGAAGUCAAGCGAGAGCUGGCUGUCAAUGGAAGGGCUACAUAAUGUAUUGCUGAUGCACUGUGAGCGGGAAGGUUGGCUGGUCCUUGCCUUCAUGCUUGCUAGCUUACUCCUUUACGGGAAGCAGUACACUGGGGAACAAAAGACUCUUGAAAUGGUGUACAAGCAAGCUCCUAAGGAAUUCCUUCAUCUUUUGUCCCCCUUGAACCCUCAACCUUCUCAUCUUAGAUACCUUCAAUACAUAUCCAGACGAGGUAGCAUGUCAGAUUGGCCUCCACGAGAAACCACUUUCACCUUGGAAUGCCUGAUUAUCAAAGCCAUUCCCAGGUUUGAUCGCGAAGGUGGCUGUAGGCCAAUGGUUCGCAUAUACCGGCAAGACCAUUUGACACCCACAAGCAGUAGUCCAAAGAUGCUUUUCGCAACACCAAGGACCAAGAAGCACAUUCAUCAUUAUAGACAGGCUGUAACAACAAAAAUUAAUGCUUGUUGCUGCGUUCAAGGAGAUAUUGUCAUCGAAUGCCUGCAUCUGGACGAAGAUCUGGAACAUGAGGAAAUGAUGUUCAGAGUCAUGUUUAACACAGCAUUUGUCCAAUCUAAUAUUUUGGCAUUGACACGUGAUGAAAUUGAUCUUGUAUGGAGUGCGAAGGAUCAUUUCCCAAAGGACUUCAAAAUCGAGGUUGUCUUUUCAAACUCUGAUGCUUCCAUAUCUGAUACAAGCACAGAAAUGGUCGUUGAAGGGAGGAAAGAGACACAAUGUGUUUCCAAAGAAGCAGCUGAGUUUUUUGAGGCAGAAGCAUUUAGCAGUUCAGAUUGGCAUGACAUAAAAAGAGAUCCUUAUUUCCAGAUCCAUGAUGCCAAAAGAGAUCCUGGAAGGAGUCCUAAGGACGAAAAUUAUAUUUUGUCAGAGGGAGCAAGGUGCAAAUUGGAAAUGAGUAAUUCUGACGAGGUCUCAAAGAGUAUGAUCACCCAAAAUUUUGCCGAUGUGGAAAAAAUAGGUGUCAACUCAGAAUUUCCUGGUAUGCUCGGUCAAGCUGAGAUUAUUUGUGAAACUAGCAAUUUCAAACAUGAUAAGGAGAUUGUUGCUGAAAGAUUAGUUGAUUUGGACAUUGUGGUUCCAAUUGAAGACAAGAUGAUUGUAGAGAGAAGCACACCCCCUCAGCAAAGGAAUGGCACAUCAACUUCAGAAGCUGAAGAGAAGAUUGCUUUAGAGAACAGCGAUUUUAAUCAAGAGAGAGUAGGUGACAUCAAGGUGUCAGCUAUUCCAGAGAAUAUGAGUCACAAGUUAGAAGCUCCAUCUAUGGCAGGUAUGCUAAAGCAGGAAAGUUCUAUAAAGAGGUCUGCUGCAAGGUAUGAUGAGCCCAGUUCAGAGACAUCGUGUUGUGGUAGACAUACAGGCUCUUUAGUUAUAGGAGAUGAGGUAGAACCACGGGAUAAGAAUCGUUUGGAAACUCUGGGUAUUGGAUUCCAAACAAUGAGUGGAUUACCUACCACUAGCACAAAACCUAAGGUAAAUGAUGAAAUGUCUGUGCUUGCAGACUACAUGGUUGCAUGUGAGGAGAAGAAUAUAAUAGAAGUGAGCAAUUACCAACAUGAAUUAAAGGACAUUGUUGUUCUAGCUGUUGAAGAUGAUACAACUGAAAUGUGUGAUAUCAAGCAUGAUUCAGCUCACAUUGUUACAGAUAAGAUGAUAAAUUUGCAUGAUAUACAUUGUGAGUCAGAAGCACAAGCUCUGAAAGUAAAGGCUGAAAGCAUAUUAGAGCAAAGAGAGUGUAAACCUAACCCAGAGAUUACUGUUAACAGGAAAAAGUUCAUUCUGGUUGACAAGGCUCAUAAUCCAGGGAACCAGGAUAUAGAAAACAAAGGGAAGUUCAAGAUGGAAAUGCAUGUGGGGAAAGAUAAUACAGAGAAUGGUGUUUCUGAAAGUGAGAUAGAUCUGAAGGUUGUCAGUCAGAAAGCACUAUAUGAUGGUCAAAUGCUGACGCCUAAAGAGUCUCCGUGUACAAUUUCAAAGAAAAUACCAACAUGUAUAAGACUGUCUGAUUCCGGUGUAAUAAAAACAAGGAUUAAACAACAAGAAAGUGUCGGAUAUGGUCUGCCUCCUCUUUCACCAGCUAUACUUUCAUGUUCAUUUGCUAAAGGCCCGUCUUGUCCACCUAUGCUCUUAGGAGAAUCUACCAAAGGCCUACCACUCCUCGAUUCCCAUGUGAUCUCAGGAGCUUCUGUCAAAAGUGCAGCUCUGCCUCCUCCUCCACCAUCACCACCCUUAUGUCCUAAAGCCAAUAUGAAAGGUGCUCUUCUGCCACAACCACCUUCUGCUCCACCUCACGCCAAAAAUUUGUUACCUCCUCCUUUGUUGCUACCAAAUCGAGGAGGAAGAACUCAAGGUCCACCACCUUCACCUCCACCUCCAUCUCCUCUUGACCAAAAUGUUGGUGUAUAUAUUCCUCAUCCUCCUCAUUCAGCAAUAUCUGUUAAAUGCUUUUCAAUGAUGCCUCCUGCUCCACCACUAGAGCCAUUGCUAAAUUCUCACUCAAAUGCAUCAAAACCCCCAGAAGGUGCUGCCCCUAUCCUGUCUCCACCUCCAUCUGCAACUCAUGGAGGAGCUCGACCUCCACUACGUGCUCCAGGAGCACAUGGUGGCGCUCCUCCUCCUCCACCACCUCCUAGAGCUCGUACUCCUAAACAGCGAGCCUCUCCUCAUGUAAGACGACUUCCUUCUUCUACUGUGUCAGCUAUGCCUGUUUCUCAGGUUGAUGCUAGAGGUAUAUCACCUAGGCAUGGACUCAUAUGUCCAACAAGUUCAGUGAGUUCAGCACCUUGUAGGUCAUCACUGAAGCCAUUGCACUGGGUGAAAGUAACAAGAGCAGUUCAAGGAAGCAUAUGGGCAGAACUUCAAAAAUCUGAGGAUGCUUCAAAUGCUUCAGAAUUUGAUGUAUCUGAACUUGAAAGACUCUUCCCAGCAGUGGUACCCAAAAAUGAUAUCUCUAAAACUGAGGGUCGUCAUAAAUUUCUUGGAUUGAAACCUGACAAAGUUCGCUUGAUUGACUUAAGGCGGGCUAACAACACUGAAAUCAUGCUGACAAAAGUCAAGAUUCCACUUUCUGAUUUGGUGAGUGCUGCUCUUGCAAUGGAUGAUUCUAUUUUAGAUGUGGAUCAAGUGGAAAAUAUGAUCAAAUUUUGUCCAACCAAAGAGGAAAUGGAGCUGCUGAAGGGGUACACUGGAGACAAGGACCAGCUUGGUAAAUGUGAGCAGUAUUUUCUAGAGUUGAUGAAAGUUCCACGUGUGGAGUCGAAACUAAGAGUUUUUUCUUUCAAGAUUCAGUUUGGCUCACAGGUUUUGGAUAUUAGAAAGAGUUUAAACACUAUAGACUCUGUUUGUGAACAGGUUUGCAGUUCUGCCAAAUUAAAGGAGAUAAUGAAGAAAAUUCUGUACCUUGGAAAUACAUUAAACCAAGGAACUGCAAGAGGCUCAGCUAUUGGUUUCCACCUGGACAGUCUUCUAAAACUUACUGAUACUCGUUCCACCAACAAUAAGAUGACACUGAUGCAUUAUUUAUGCAAGGCACUUGCUAUCAAGUCCCCACAUCUUCUGGAUUUUCAUGAGGAUAUUACAAGUUUGGAAGCUGCAUCUAAGAUACAACUGAAAUAUUUGGCUGAAGAAAUGCAGGCCGUAGUCAAAGGGUUGGAGAAGGUCGGGUUUGAGCUGCAAGCUUCUGAAAAUGAUGGCCCUAUAUCUGAAGUAUUUCUAAAGACCCUGAAGGAGUUUACUGCUGUUGCUGCAGCUGAAGUACAAUCCUUAACAAUGCUUUAUACUGAAGUGGGUAGAAAAGCAGAUGCCCUUGCCUUAUACUUUGGCGAAGAUCCUGCACAAUGUUCUUUUGAACAAGUAGUGACUACUCUUCGGAAUUUCAUAUCGUUAUUUCGGCGGGCACAUCAGGAUAACUGCAAGCAGGCUGAGCUUGAGAAGAAAGCUGAGAAAGAUUGGGGGAUAGACAAGUCCAAAUCUUCGACACCCAGGAGUAGAGCUGUCAAGGACACCAGAGAAACAAAUCGAGGAGAUAAAAAUGUCAGAUGACCAUCCACCUGCUUAUUGACUACUAUUUUAAUUAGCUUGUCCCAAAUAAUACUCCACCUCAUGAUAUCCCUCCAUUGUUGAUGAGAAAAGAGUACUGCCUACCAGGCGACUCGGGUCAGGAAUGAUAGAACUGAACCCGAGAUGCUGCAUCAAACAUGGCACCGGAAUCAUGAUACGGGAGAUCCCAGGAUGGUGAUCUACUUGUCUGGUAAUCUUAAUCUAUUGUGUAUCGAGGCGCUAAGUUUGUUGGUUGCUGGGUUCAGAUGUCAACAGCUCCAUUGAUCAGCCUCAUGAAUGAUGAACAGUGCUUGUCGAACACCAAAUUGACUCAACAAAAGCGGCCAUUAACAUUUCAUCGGUCCACUUCGGGAGAAGCAUUCUGCGUUCCUUUCAGAGCACGGCCAUCCCCAUCCAAUUCUUCCAUGACAGAGGACCUACAGGUGAAGUAGAACACUGCGCUCAUCAUUGAAUCUAUCAGUACAACAAAGGAGUA